rnacentral:rRNA from 1 species
UACAGAGACUGCAAGCGUUAUUCGGAUUCACUGGGCGUAAAGGGUGCGCAGGCGGCCAAGUGUGUGAGGCGUGAAAGCCCGGGGCUUAACCCCGGAAUUGCACCUCAAACUACAUGGCUAGAGCAUUGGAGAGGGUAGCAGAAUUCAUGGUGUAGCAGUGAAAUGCGUAGAUAUCAUGAGGAAUACCAGAGGCGAAGGCGGCCUUCUGGACGGUGACUGACGCUGAGACGCGAAAGCGUGGGGAGCAAACAGG